AUUGAACGCUGGCGGAAUGCUUUACACAUGCAAGUCGAACGGCAGCACGGACUUCGGUCUGGUGGCGAGUGGCGAACGGGUGAGUAAUGUAUCGGAACGUGCCCAGUCGUGGGGGAUAACGUAGUGAAAAUUACGCUAAUACCGCUUACGAUCUAUGGAUGAAAGCGGGGGAUCGCAAGACCUCGCGCGAUUGGAGCGGCCGAUAUCAGAUUAGGUAGUUGGUGGGGUAAAGGCCCACCAAGCCAACGAUCUGUAGCUGGUCUGAGAGGACGACCAACCACACUGGAACUGAGACACGGUCCAGACUCCUACGGGAGGCAGCAGUGGGGAAUUUUGGAAAAUGGGCGAAAGCCUGAUCCAGCCAUUCCGCGUGCAGGAUGAAGGCCCUCGGGUUGUAAACUGCUUUUGUACAGAACGAAAAGGUUUCUACUAAUACUAGGAGCUCAUGACGGUACUGUAAGAAUAAGCACCGGCUAACUACGUGCCAGCCGCCGCCGUAA
rnacentral:rRNA from 1 species